GCCUAGUUAGCUUAGUUGGUAGUGCGUCUGCCUUAUGAGCGCUAGGCCGCGGGUUCGAUUCCCGCCCGGGGCG
rnacentral:tRNA from 1 species